rnacentral:rRNA from 1 species
AGCGAACGCUGGCGGCAGGCCUAACACAUGCAAGUCGAACGAUCCUUCGGGAUAGUGGCGAACGGGUGAGUAACGCGUAGACAACCUACCUCUUAGAUGGGGACAACAUCGCGAAAGCGGUGCUAAUACCGAAUGAAGUGGCUUUCCUGCAUGGGAGAGAUACUAAAGGUGGCCUCUAUUUAUAAGCUACCACUGAGAGAUGGGUCUGCGUUUGAUUAGGUAGUUGGCGGGGUAACGGCCCACCAAGGCGACGAUCAGUAGCCGGUCUGAGAGGAUGAACGGCCACAUUGGGACUGAGACACGGCCCAAACUCCUACGGGAGGCAGCAGUGGGGAAUCUUCCGCAAUGGACGAAAGUCUGACGGAGCAACGCCGCGUGAGUGAAGAAGGUUUUCGGAUCGUAAAGCUCUGUUGUUUGAGACGAAUGUGCCUGUUUCGAAUAGGGAUAGGUAAUGACGGUAUUAAACGAGAAAGCCACGGCUAACUACGUGCCAGCCGCCGCCGUAA